AACGUAGGAGACGAACGUUAUCCGGAUUUACUGGGCGUAAAGGGCGUGCAGGCGGCUUGAUAAGUUCGGCGUGAAAUUUCCCGGCUUAACCGGGGGAUGUCGUCGGAGACUGUCGAGCUAGAGGGUGAUAGAGGCGUGUGGAAUUCCGGGUGUAGUGGUGAAAUGCGUAGAGAUCCGGAGGAACACCAGUGGCGAAGGCGACACGCUGGGUCAUACCUGACGCUAAAACGCGACAGCAUGGGGAGCGAACGGG
rnacentral:rRNA from 1 species